rnacentral:lncRNA from 1 species
UCUGUGAAAACCAUAUAAGCAUGUUGGAGCACAGUUGAUAUCAGAUAUAACUCACCUCUUUUGCUGGGAGUCCUUGUUGGAACUAGGAGGAGAAUUUGUGUUUGUAGAAGCCGCCACAAAUCCCCGUAGAGGAGGUGUACUUGUUGUAGAAGCGGCCACAAAUCCCCGUAGAGGAGGUGUACUUGUUGUAGAAGCGGCCACAAAUCCCCGUAGAGGAGGUGUACUUGUUGUAGAAGCGGCCACAAAUCCCCGUAGAGGAGCACUAGCAGCAGCGACAGAUCCCGGUAGCACGGUGUUUGUAGCAGCACCUCCAGCACUCGAUGACGCAGCAACGAAGCUGUCCUUGAA